UACGAAGGGGGCUAGCGUUGCUCGGAAUUACUGGGCGUAAAGGGCGCGUAGGCGGACAGUUUAGUCAGAGGUAAAAGCCCCGGGCUUAACCUGGGAAUGGCCAUGGAAACUGGCGAACUGGAGUGUGGCAGAGGGGGGUGGAAUUCCGCGUGUAGCAGUGAAAUGCGUAGAGAUGCGGAGGAACACCGAUGGCGAAGGCAGCCCCCUGGGCUAACACUGACGCUCAGGCACGAAAGCGUGGGGAGCAAACAGG
rnacentral:rRNA from 1 species